rnacentral:rRNA from 1 species
CCUACGGGAGGCAGCAGUGGGGAAUCUUGCACAAUGGGGGAAACUCUGAUGCAGCGACGCCGCGUGAGCGAUGAAGUAUUUCGGUAUGUAAAGCUCUAUCAGCAGGGAAGAAAAUGACGGUACCUGACUAAGAAGCUCCGGCUAAAUACGUGCCAGCAGCCGCGGUAAUACGUAGGGGGCAAGCGUUAACCGGAUUUACUGGGCGUAAAGGGUGCGUAGGCGGCGGAACAAGCCAGAUGUGAAAGCCUGGGGCUCAACCCCGGAACUGCAUAUGGAACUGUGCGGCUAGAGUGUCGGAGAGGCAGGCGGAAUUCCUAGUGUAGCGGUGAAAUGCGUAGAUAUUAGGAAGAACACCAAUGGCGAAGGCAGCCUGCUGGACGACGACUGACGUUGAGGCUCGAAAGCGUGGGGAGCAAACAGGAUUAGAUACCCCAGUAGUC